rnacentral:lncRNA from 1 species
CAAGCUUUGGAACCAAUCUUGGUAUCCUUCAACAGAUGAAUGGAUAAAGAAAAUGUGGUAUAUAUACACAGUGGAAUAUUAGCCACAAAGAAGAAUGAAAUUAUGGCAUUUGCUGGUAAAAGGAUGGAACUGGAGAAUAUCGUGCUAAGUGAAAUAAGCCAGUGCCCCCCAAACCAAAGGCCAAAUAUUCUCUCUGAUAUGUGGAUGCUAACCCACAACAAGGGAGGAUGGAGAGCGGAAGAAUAGAAGUUCAUUGGAAUAGACAAAGGGGAAUGAAUGGAAGGGAGAGGGAGGGGAAUAGGAAAGACAGUAGAAUUAAUCAGAUGUGACUUUCCUAUCUUUGUAUUUGAAUACAGGACCAGGGUAAUGUCACAUCCUGUAUAACUGCAAGAAUAAGAUUCUAAUUAGAAUAAGUUACACUCCAUGUAUGUAUAAUAUGCCACAAUACAUUUUACUGUCAUGUAUAUCUAAAUAGAACAAAUUUAAAAAAAAAAAAGACUUUUACCUAGCUCUCUAGGCCCAUUCCCACCCCUCCUGUUCCCCAGCACUUUGUAUUGGACUACCUGAAGUUUCCAAAUAUCCUGUGGUCUCUCUGGCUUUCAUUCCUUCCCACAUACUACAUCAUUUUCCAAGAACAGCAAUAUUGGCUUUUGCUGCAGUUGACAGAUCUAGCAAAGUUAGACUUGUCUCAAACACAGCUUGUUUUAUUUGUUUAUUUGUUUGUUUUGCAUAACUCCUGCAUUCUUACCCAUAGGGUCGUUUUGUACAGUGAUUAUAAACUGUGGAGUCGCUCAGGUGUUGUGUACAAAUCUCACCCUAUUGUCAUGGUGUUGAAGAUAAUGCCUGUGUAGUGCCUGGCACAUUCUAGGUGCUCAGUGGUUGUUAGCACCUAUUUGUAGUGCCCUUCCUAGGUUCUCAUCGCAUGUUGCUCAUAUUUCUAAGGAUAGUAAUUGCUUUUACUACAGUUUCCAAACUCUUCAGUAGGCCAUAAGCUCAUAGAGUAGUGGCUCUGGUAUACAAAAAGAUCACCUGCAGGUUCUGUUAAAACACAGAUCCCGGGCCCCACUAGAGAUUCAAAUGCAGUGGGUAAAGGGUGAGACCCAUGAGUUGACAUUUCUACCAAGCUUCUAGGUGUGUAUGCUUCUGGUUCAAAGUCUGCACCUUGAGUGGCCUGCCCUAUUGGAUGUGAACUAAGUCUUUUUACUUGGGUUACUGUUAUAAUAGUGUUCAAAAAAAUAUCUGUGGAAUGGAUUGGUAAGGAAAAGGAUAAAAGCAAGUCAACAAAAAGCUAUAAGUAAAGAGAUGGUUAGCUUAGAAUAUUGAUUCCUGUGAUUAGUCAACUAUACAAAAUAUUUUAAUGAAACUGUGAGCCAAAAUAAAUCUUUCCUCCUUGAAGUUGAGGAUAAAAAUUGCUUUGUGUAGGUUGUGAACUUAAAGAAUAAAUGUAAGCAAUAAAUAUAAGCAAUAAAGAAUAAAUGUAAGCAAAGUUAGUAGCUCUUCUUGGUGACCCACACUUCCCUUCUGAAGAUGGAAGACCCUGUGCAGAAAAUGUGGCAGUUCCUAGUUUUUUAGCUUCCUUUAGAUAAACUGUAGAUUUAGAUGAUAGCAAUGACACAGGAAAAGAGAAAACAGGGAACUUUAAAAAGGAGAGAAAGGUGUGCAAUUAAAG